AAGUCGCCGAUCUGCGAUAUAAUCGGAUCUUCCGUCUUCGUUACGGGCCUGAGCGGUUUUUCUUGUCUGUCGGCCAUGGUGUUUUUCAGGCUCUAAAAACUGAAAGAUUUAGGCCUACCAAGCUGACUGGUUUUCGUUGUGGGUGGACUUUCUCAAAUAUUUGCCGGGCUCCAGCACAAAUUGGACAUAUCGAGCGGUGCGGCUCAGUGCAGACUGGCGUGAAAUUAUGGAACCCGGGCAGAUAGAGAUUUCAUUUGCCAGCCAACCGGCCACCAGUUAACCGGUUUUCCCAGAGAGAGAGCCUCAGUGAUUCGACUUCGGAGUCGGUGGCAGCGUGACAAGUCGAGGGGCGGCUUAGCCGAGGGGAACUAGAAGUCGGGGGCAUUAGCACCACGGCCAACGGAUCCACCGGCAAAAUGGCAUUUGGAAAUAGGAGUACGGCCUCCAUUGCCGCUGCAGUUUGUCAGCCAAAAGGCCAAGCGACUGGGGCUAAACUUUUACUCUUUAAGUAGGUAAAUGAAGUCGGCUGCCUGGUUAAUUGGAGGAAGGUGCGCCCGGGGACCCGGCCCGUUUACUGGGAUCUAGCUGGCAGAUUAAGCCAUUGUCUGGCCGCAGAUAACCACGAGUCCCAGUUACCCAUUAAGAUGACUUAAUUAAGGAAGCACUGGCUCAGUGAAAGUUGGCGGGGAGGGCGGGAGAAAGGGAGCGGGACGAGCCGAGAUUUCAGGUCGGAGAUUCCGCGACAAGUUCCCACGGCAACGACAACCUGUCUGGCGGAGGCACUUUGCGCAAUCGUCAGUGGCUCUGGCUGGCAAAAUGUCACAACAAUUGCAAAUAAAUUAUAUAUGCAAAUUGGAUGGCCAAUCAAUGGAAUAGCCAUUCAGAAAACGCAGCGUUAUAAUACGAUCGCCACAUGAUAAAUCUGGCAAGAAACAAAGCACCCACUAGGGAAUGUACAAAUCUUGGUAGAUAUUUAUGCUUUGGCGAUGCCUUUGUUUAGACUUAAAAUUUCAAUUCAAUUGGCUUUGGCAUAUUUAAUGCGUAGCAAUUUGCAUUUGGUUAAACAAUUUUUAGUAGUCAAACUCUUGGCUAUUUUAGCGACAUUUUUUAAUAAAAUCUUAGCACUGUAAGUUCAGAA